rnacentral:lncRNA from 1 species
ACCCUUCAAAAUUUGGUUCAUAUCUUUGUGCUACUUUUUGUUAUAAACAAAAGUAACACAAAGAGGGGCAACUAUAGUAACAAAAUUUGUCCGGGCUUUCUUGUUUUUAAUUCCGUAGCCUUAUUCUACGUCGAAAUGUCAGUGCUUUUCGGGCCCGAUUUCAAUCCCGAUUUUGGGGCCCAAUUUCGGGCCCUUACUGUUAUUAAUUAAGAGGCUGGCACCUCUUAUUUUUUUGUUAGACACAUUGUAAUUUGUGGUUGGAGAAAAGGGGAGGUGGCAGCCCCAUUUUUUGAUUUAAAUGGACAGUCAAAGAUGGAGGAGAGGAGAGGAGAUUUGGAGAGGUUGAAGUUUUCCCAACCCUACUAAAAAAUCAAACACAACUCAGUCCAAAAGUCCUAAAAGUUACUACAACAACUUACAAAAAAGCACUAAAACUAAACACUAAGGCCCAUAUCUUGUCAUCAUUCGCAAAGAACCACUACCUGAAACACGACAAAAAAAGAAGCUUCAGAUUAAACGUAACCAUUCAAACUCGCAUAUUCAAAACCAUUUACGUAUCAUUCAUGCAUAGGCAUUGUUUUGCUUAUACCCUAAACUCCCUUAAAAUCUAAUGUUCAAGUGAAAGUUCCUUUUUAAUCAACAACCAAUAAGUCAAUGAAAUAAACCUCUGAAAUCAACUAAAGAUCACAGGAGAAAGUACUAGCGAAAGAAACCUAUAGCCGUCGUUUAUCAUUUUUGCACAAAGAACCUAAAGAACUAUGACAUUCGCCAAAACACAAAUUAUUCUACUAAACAAGUUGCUGGAUUUUUUUUAAUAUUAGCUAAAAGUCAAGUUUUUUUUUUAAAUAGAACUUUGUUAAAAUAUUUAAACUACUAUUGUAAUCCAAAACACAGAACUAAGUCAGUUCCCUUGGUAGCUUAUCAAGAAACAGAAAUCAACAAAAAAUAAACUAAAUCCCUCUUUUACCUAGCUCCUUUCUCUCUAUCUCUACUUCUCCAUUGCUGUCGUCGAUAUUCGCCCCUAACCAAGAAACCAAAAACAGAGCAAAUUAGAUCCAAAAAAUAAAUAAGAAAGGGUUUCAACUCUAGAUUUAUAGAUCGGGACUUGCAUGUCGCCGGAGGACCCGCCGGAAUCUCCGACGACGACAUGUAAUCCCGGAUCUGGGUUAAACAAGAGAGAAACAAAAAAGAAAAUUUCAGAGAUAUUUUUACCUUUUCUUUCUCGUUGUUGAUGUCUGAGGACGAAGAGGACGAGGAGAAAGGAAGGGGAAGAAUAAAAAGAAACGGAAAUGGGAGGAGAAGAGGAAGUGUCGCCGCCGUCGAGAGGGAAAAAGAGAGGAAGAAGAGGAAGGAGAGGAGAAGGAAAAGAAGAGAAGAAGAAAAAGAAAAAAAAAAGGAGGAGAAGAGGAAGCGUCGCAACGACAGCGACGGCCGAGAGGAAGAAGAAGAGAAGAGAGGAGAGUUAGAGAGAGGGGAGAGGUUUUAGAGAGAAAUCCGACAGAAUUGAGAGUAGAGGAAGGGAGAAGAGAGAGUGGGAGGUUGUAAAAUGGCC